rnacentral:rRNA from 1 species
GACGAACGCUGGCGGCGUGCUUAACACAUGCCAGUCGAACGGAAAGGCCCUGCUUUUGUGGGGUGCUCGAGUGGCGAACGGGUGAGUAACACGUGAGUAACCUGCCCUUGACUUUGGGAUAACUUCAGGAAACUGGGGCUCAUACCGGAUAGGAGCUCCUGCUGCAUGGUGGGGGUUGGAAAGAUUCGGCGGUUGGGGAUGGACUCGCGGCUUAUCAGCCUGUUGGUGGGGUAGGGGCUUACGAAGGCUUUGACGGGUAGCCGGCCUGAGAGGGUGACCGGGCACAUUGGGACUGAGAGACGGCCCAGACUCCUACGGGAGGCAGCAGUGGGGAAUAUUGCACAAUGGGCGGAAGUCUGAUGCAGCAACGCCGCGUGCGGGAUGACGUCCUUCGGGGUGUAAACCGCUUUCGCCUGUGACGAAGCGUGAGUGACGGUAAUGGGUAAAGAAGCACCGGCUAACUACGUG